rnacentral:rRNA from 1 species
AAAAACAUGUCCUUUAGAAUUUAAUUUAAGGUCUAACCUGCCCACUGAUUUAAAUGGCCGCAGUAUUUUAACUGUGCAAAGGUAGCAUAAUCAUUAGUCUUUUAAUUGAAGGCUUGUAUGAAUGGUUGGACGAAAUAUUAACUGUUUCAUAAAAAUUUAUUUAGAAUUUUAUUUUUUAGUUAAAAAGCUAAAAUUUUUUUAAAAGACGAGAAGACCCUAUAGAUCUUUAUAAUUUAUUUGUUAUAGUUAUAUAGAUAAUUUAAAUUAUGAUUUUAUAUAUUAUUUUGUUGGGGUGACAUUAAAAUUUAAUAAACUUUUAAUAAAUUUUUACAUUAAUUUAUGAAUAAUUGAUCCAUUAUUAGUGAUUAUAAAAUUAAGUUACCUUAGGGAUAACAGCGUAAUUUUUUUGAAGAGUUCAUAUCGAUAAAAAAGAUUGCGACCUCGAUGUUGGAUUAAGAUAUAAUUUUGGGUGCAGCAAUUCAAUAAUUAAGUCUGUUCGACUUUUAAUUUCUUACAUGA